ensembl:snRNA U6 U6 spliceosomal RNA
GCGCUCGCUUCCACAGCUCAUACACUAAAAUUGGAACGAUACAGAGAAGAUUUGCUUGGCCCCUGCUCAAGGAUGACAUGCAAAUUUAUGAUGUGGUGGAUGUUCUU